rnacentral:rRNA from 1 species
UACAGAGGUCCCAAGCGUUGUUCGGAUUCAUUGGGCGUAAAGGGUGCGUAGGUGGCGUCGUAAGUCGGGUGUGAAAUCUCGGGGCUUAACUCCGAAACUGCAUUCGAUACUGCGGUGCUUGAGGACUGGAGAGGAGACUGGAAUUUACGGUGUAGCAGUGAAAUGCGUAGAUAUCGUAAGGAAGACCAGUGGCGAAGGCGGGUCUCUGGACAGUUCCUGAUGCUGAGGCACGAAGGCCAGGGGAGCAAACGGG